AGCCGUGACUACGAGGACUCUGUGGAGCAGCAGGGGAGGGGGCGUGUCCAGGAGGACACUCGCCGUCGCCAGGAGCAACUUUCGCCUCAACCCCUCCCGCCGACUCCCCACAGGCCCCUCCCACUCAACAGGCCACACCCUCGGCCGCAGCAGAACGCCAUGGACCAGCAGAGGGAGCUGGCGAGACGCCGCGAGCAGGAAAGGAGGAGGAGAGAGGUGGUAAUACUUUAUAGCAGUAAUACUACUAUAAUACUAACAUGUUAUACUAGUAUAGCAGGAGAGAGGUGGUAAUACUUUAUAGCAGUAAUACUACUAUAAUACUAACAUGUUAUACUAGUAUAGCAGGAGAGAGGUGGUAAUACUUUAUAGCAGUAAUACUACUAUAAUACUAACAUGUUAUACUAGUAUAGUAGGAGAGAGGCGGUAAUACUUUAUAGCAGUAAUACUACUAUAAUACUAACAUGUUAUACUAGUAUAGCAGGAGAGAGGCGGUAAUACUUUAUAGCAGUAAUACUACUAUAAUACUAACAUGUUAUACUAGUAUAGCAGGAGAGAGGUGGUAAUACUUUAUAGCAGUAAUACUACUAUAAUACUAACAUGUUAUACUAGUAUAGUAGGAGAGAGGUGGUAAUACUUUAUAGCAGUAAUACUACUAUAAUACUAACAUGUUAUACUAGUAUAGUAGGAGAGAGGCGGUAAUACUACUAUAAUACUAACAUGUUAUACUAGUAUAGCAGGAGCGAGGCGGUAAUACUUUAUAGCAGUAAUACUACUAUAAUACUAACAUAAAAUACUAGUUUAGCAGGAGAGAGGUGGUAAUACUUUAUAGCAGUUAUACUACUAUAAUACUAACAUAAUAUACUGGUAUAGCAGGAGAGAGGUGGCAAUACUUUAUAGCAGUAAUACUACUAUAAUACUAACAUAAAAUACUAGUUUAGCAGAAGAGAGGUGGUAAUACUUUAUAGCAGUAAUACUACUAUAAUACUAACAUGUUAUACUAGUAUAGCAGGAGAGAGGUGGUAAUACUUUAUAGCAGUAAUACUACUAUAAUACUAACAUAAAAUACUAGUUUAGCAGAAGAGAGGUGGUAAUACUUUAUAGCAGUUAUACUACUAUAAUACUAACAUGUUAUACUAGUAUAGCAGGAGAGAUGAGGAGAGAAUCAUCAUAAAGAUACGUAUUAAUAUAUGUAUAUUCUUGUUAUAUUAUGUAUAUUCAGUUAUAUUACAAUAAUACAGAGGAGAGGUAGUUUAGCUGAGAAGAGAUGGGAAAGAUUAACACUGCAUCUAAUUCCUCUCUCUCUCUCGCUCUGUCUCUCAUCCCCCUCUCUCUACAGAUGGCGGACACCAUUGACAUCAACUUCCAGAGCGACUUGAUGGCCAUCUUUGAAGAGAACCUUUUCUGAGAGAGAGAUUGAGAAAGGAGGAGAGGGAGAGAAAGAGAUAUGAACUCUACCUUAUCCCACCAUGGCUGGGAUUUCACACACAACACCCUCCCUCCCUCUGAUUAGAGACCCCAGACCAGGAUGUGAGCUCCAGAGACUUGAAGGAGACUGAGGUGAGGUACAGUAAUAAGGAGUAGCCCUC
rnacentral:lncRNA from 1 species